AUCCAGCUGAGGCGGGAAAUGGAGGAACAGACGUGGCUUACGAGUUCGAGUCCCAUUCCCGAAAAAGCUGUUUGUCAACCUCCUGAAUAGCAUAAUACAAAGUUUAAAUAGGGACAAACAGAACCCACUGCACACUACAGCAAGAGUAGCCAAGAUGUUGACCAUCUGAAACAAGGAGCCAUUUCGGUUUUACCAACUCAGACUGAGAUUGUGGCUGAGUUUGAUAAGUGCAGACUGCUAUUCUUUCUUAAGACCUCUCCCUUUGGAGCACAUUAAAAGUGGAGAGAACUGCUGUCCCUGACUACGGCUCCCCAGAGCCUGCCUUCAUCUAGGAUGGCUCCUCUGGGCAUGCUACUUGGGCUGCUGAUGGCCGCCUGCUUCACCUUCCGCCUCAGUCAUCAGAACCUGAAGGAGUUUGCCCUGACCAACCCAGAGAAGAGCAGCACCAAAGAAACGGAGAGAAAAGAAACCAAAGCCGAGGAAGAGCUGGAUGCCGAAGUCCUGGAGGUGUUCCACCCGACGCAUGAGUGGCAGGCCCUUCGGCCAG
rnacentral:sRNA from 1 species